ACAAACACACCCACUCAAUCAUCAUAACCAAGAUGUUAAAUUUUAAUUAGAAAUUCAAUCGGGAAAUUAUAAUCGUUUUGAGAAAGAAUCAAACCGAAAAAAAGUUAGGGUUUUCUAUGUGUUCACAUAUAACAUAGAGAGAGAAGGAGCUUGAAGGGAGAAGGUGAUGAGUCUCAAAGCUAGGUGGCGGUUCGUAUGGUUUCUG
rnacentral:lncRNA from 1 species